UGGGGAAUCUUGCGCAAUGGUCGAGAGACUGACGCAGCGACGCCGCGUGCGGGAGGACGCCUUUCGGGGUGUAAACCACUGUUGCCCGGGACGAACUCGCUUAUUCGUAAGCGUUGACGGUACCGGGUGAGGAAGCACCGGCUAACUCCGUGCCAGCAGCCGCGGUAAUCCGGAGGGUGCGAGCGUUGUCCGGAAUCAUUGGGCGUAAAGGGCGCGUAGGUGGCCCGGUGAGUCUUUGGUGAAAGCGCGGGGCUCAACCCUGCGUCGGCCAGGGAUACUGCCGCGGCUCGAGCACUGUAGAGGCAGGCGGAAUUCCGGGUGUAGCGGUGGAAUGCGUAGAGAUCCGGAAGAACACCGGUGGCGAAGGCGGCCUGCUGGGCAGGAGGGGCAACCCUUUCAAGCUGACACUGAGGCGCGACAGCGUGGGGAGCAAAC
rnacentral:rRNA from 1 species